rnacentral:rRNA from 1 species
AUUGAACGCUGGCGGCAGGCUUAACACAUGCAAGUCGAACGAGUGGCGGACGUGUGAGUAAUGCUUGGGAAUCUCGCUUAUGGAGGGGGAUAACUACGGGACACUGUAGCUAAUACCGCGUACCAUAGGAUGAGCCCAAGUGGGAUUAGGUAGUUGGUGAGGGAAAGGCUCACCAAGCCGACGAUCUCUAGCUGGUCUGAGCGGAUGACCAGCCACACUGGGACUGAGAAAAGGCCCAGACUCCUACGGGAGGCAGCAGUGGGGAAAAUUGCGCAAUGGGGGCAACCUGACGCAGCCAUGCCGCGUGAAGGAAGAAGGCCUUCGGGUUGUAAAGUUCUUUCGGUAGCAAGGCGUUAACUACAGAAGAAGCACCGGCAAACUCCGUGCCAGCCGCCGCGGUAAUUC